GCGCCCGUAGCUCAAGUGGAUAGAGCGUUUGGCUACGGACCAAAAGGUUGGGGGUUCGAAUCCUCCCGGGCGUACCA
rnacentral:tRNA from 1 species